rnacentral:piRNA from 2 species
AUUGAUCACAACCAGUUACAGAUU